UAGGGAAUCUUCCGCAAUGGGCGAAAGCCUGACGGAGCAACGCCGCGUGAGUGAUGAAGGUCUUCGGAUCGUAAAACUCUGUUAUUAGGGAAGAACAAAUGUGUAAGUAACUAUGCACGUCUUGACGGUACCUAAUCAGAAGGCCACGGCUAACUACGUGCCAGCAGCCGCGGUAAUACGUAGGUGGCAAGCGUUAUCCGGAAUUAUUGGGCGUAAAGCGCGCGUAGGCGGUUUUUUAAGUCUGAUGUGAAAGCCCACGGCUCAACCGUGGAGGGUCAUUGGACACUGGAAAACUUGAGUGCAGAAGAGGAAAGUGGAAUUCCAUGUGUAGCGGUGAAAUGCGCAGAGAUAUGGAGGAACACCAGUGGCGAAGGCGACUUUCUGGUCUGUAACUGACGCUGAUGUGCGAAAGCGUGGGGAUCAAACAGG
rnacentral:rRNA from 1 species